rnacentral:rRNA from 1 species
UACAGUGGUCUCAAGCGUUGUUCGGAUUCAUUGGGCGUAAAGGGUGCGUAGGCGGCGCGGUAAGUCGGGUGUGAAAUCUCGGAGCUUAACUCCGAAACUGCAUUCGAUACUGCCGUGCUUGAGGACUGGAGAGGAGACUGGAAUUUACGGUGUAGCGGUGAAAUGCGUAGAUAUCGUAAGGAAGACCAGUGGCGAAGGCGGGUCUCUGGACAGUUCCUGACGCUGAGGCACGAAGGCCAGGGGAGCAAACGGG